rnacentral:SRP_RNA from 1 species
GCCAGGUGUGGUGGUUCACACCUGUAAUCCUAGCACUUUGGGAGGCAGAGGUGGGUGGAUCACUUGAGCCCAGGAGUUCUGUACCAGCAUGGGCAAAAUGGUGAAAUCCCAUCUCUA